AUACGUAGGGGGCAAGCGUUAUCCGGAUUUACUGGGUGUAAAGGGAGCGUAGACGGAAGGCCAAGUCUGAUGUGAAAGCCCGCGGCUCAACUGCGGGACUGCAUUGGAAACUGGUCAUCUGGAGUGCAGGAGGGGUAAGCGGAAUUCCUAGUGUAGCGGUGAAAUGCGUAGAUAUUAGGAGGAACACCGGUGGCGAAGGCGGCUUACUGGACUGUAACGGACGUUGAGGCUCGAAAGCGUGGGGAGCAAACAGGAUUAGAUCCCCUGGUAGUCCACGCCGUAAACGAUGAAUACUAGGUGUCGGGUUUCUAUAGAGAUUCGGUGCCGCAGCAAACGCAAUAAGUAUUCCACCUGGGGAGUACGUUCGCAAGAAUGAAACUCAAAGGAAUUGACGGGG
rnacentral:rRNA from 1 species